UUUUUAAAGCUCUCUAGACUCCUCCCCCUCUCCUUGAGUGACACUUGAAUGAGUCUCUGUUGGCAAAUGUGAAUAUGGCCAACUCUUCAGAACAGGAAAGCAGAGCCAGCUGCCAGAAAGGAGAUAACUGCUACUCACCAUAAAUAUUCACCCAGACCAGGGAGAGAGCAAUUAAGGGGGCUGUGGAGAAGUGGAAUUUGAAUGAUUAUUCUUUCCAAAUCAAAGGGAAAUCCCUGAAGCCAGAUGGAAGAGACGGCAUGUGCACAGAUAGCUUUUCUUUCAGCGAAACAGAAGUGGAACCAGAGAUGGUGGUGGUCCUAGAACUCAGGAGCUCAGCCAGGAGGCUCACAAGUUCCAAAUACCCUGGGCUGCACAGCCAGAUCCUGUGACAAAUGCAUCCCCAAAGUCACAGAUGUGCUGAUGGUCCUUAACUUCAACACCUUGCUAAAGACUCAUUACCAGAAGACUGAGGAAGGAAAUCUCUUAUCUAGUCUCUAUGAACAUGUUAUGGAAGGAUAUGAUGAAAUGUAGAAGUUGCAACCUCAACUCUACCAUAUACAGAGAAAAGAAGCUUUGGAAUGAUCAUACCUGAGGCUCAGGCUACAGUUUAUCUGCAAUGUAACUUCUCAAUGGGAGCAUCUAAUUCACAAUCAAAAUAAGCAGAACAGAAGUAUGUGUGUGAUUACUUGGCCCAUUCACAACUGGAGAGACGUUGGCACAAUUCCUAUACUAUAUUCUAACUGUGUAUUAAGGAAUAUGUGGUUUGCUUCCCACCAGCUGCUAAGUGCUUAGUUUUAUAUAACAUGUAUGUUGGUCUUCUAUCAAAAUAAAUCUGACCUUUAAAAGCCAA